rnacentral:rRNA from 1 species
GAUGAACGCUAGCGGCAGGCUUAAUACAUGCAAGUCGAGGGGCAGCAGGACUGUAGCAAUACAGUUGCUGGCGACCGGCAAACGGGUGCGGAACACGUACGCAACCUACCCAAAACGGGGGGAUAGCCCGGGGAAACCCGGAUUAAUACCUCGUAACCUUUUUAAGUGGCAUCACUUGAUAAGUAUAGCUCCGGCGGUUUUGGAUGGGCGUGCGCCUGAUUAGGUAGUUGGUGCGGGUAACGGCCCACCAAGCCUGCGAUCAGUAACUGGUGUGAGAGCACGACCAGUCACACGGGCACUGAGCCACGGGCCCGACUCCUACGGGAGGCAGCAGUACGGAAUAUUGGUCAAUGGACGCAAGUCUGAACCAGCCAUGCCGCGUGAAGGAUGAAGGUCCUCUGGAUUGUAACCUUCUUUUAUGGGGGACGCAACCCGGAUAUUCUUAUCCGAUUGACGGUACCUCAGGAAUAAGCACCGGCUAACUCCGUG